AUGGACAUGGUAGGCUAUAAAAUCCAUGGCCACUGGAUGCGUACACCUACUUGGCAUAUGGCGCCGCCAAGCUCCCGCCAAGCAGUCCCGCUGCUUCUGCUUCUCCUGCUGCAGCUCUCUGCCGCCGUCGCGUCCUUCUCCGGCUACAGCUACUACAGCUUCCCGGUGUUCGACGGCAAGGCGACCACCGACGGCGUCGUGGUGGCCACCAACUCCUCCAUGCUGGCACCGGCCACGUUCCUCUUCGACGCGCAGAUCUUCCCGGAGUUCAACCAGUCCGAGGGCUUCGUGCUCCUCUACCGCCCCGUCGCGCUCUGGCGCGUCGCCCCGGACGACGACGACGUCCGCGAGGAGGCGUCCUUCAACACGACCUUCACGGUGGACGUGGACGGCGGCGGCUCAGACGCCGUGUCGUUCGUGGUGCUCCUCGACAGCUUCCCGCCGCUCAACAGCAGGAACGAGAGGCACGGGCCCCGCCGCGGAACGAACGGCUCGGCCUUGCCCGCCGCCUUGCUGAGCGCCACCAACGGCCUCUUUGCCGUUGAGGUCAGCACGGUGAGCUCGUACGGGCCGCGGCCACCGCCCGGCGUCGGCCUGAACGUGACCAUCACGCCCAACCGUUCGUCGUUGGGUGCCGACACCACCCAGCUCGCCAUGCGGAUCGAGUACGACGCCGCCGCGCACCGCCUCUCGGUCUACGCCCAUGACGCGGCUGCCGGCGACCCGCCCGUCAACGACACAGAAGCUCUCCUCGACGCGCCGCUGGACCUCGCCGACCGCCUGCCCACCCAGGCUGCGCUGGUGGGGUUCUUUGCCUCCACGGUCCGGGACCUCGUCGUGGGCGUGCAUGACUGGGAACUGACCGUGGACGCACUCCCCGACGACGCGGACGGCGGGACACGACGUCAAAAGGACGAUCAGAGCACGUCACCGUCGUCGUCGUCGUGGCUGGUGAUACUGCUGGCGGUGCUCGGGUCGGCGGCCGCCGCGGGCUUGGCCGUCUUCUCCGUGAUGGUGUACCUCGUGGUGACCAGGGGCCGGGCGGUGGACAUGCAGGUGCAGCAGUGCUACAAGGACUAUUUCGCGAGGAUGCCACGCUGA
rnacentral:rRNA from 1 species